rnacentral:misc_RNA from 1 species
GAUGAAGAACGCAGCUAAAUGCGAUAAGUAGUGUGAAUUGCAGAAGUACCGUGAAUCAUCGAAUCUUUGAACGCAAAUUGCACUCUCUGGUAUUCCGGGGAGUAUGCCUGUUUGAGGGUCGCUUAACAAACCAUCGAUUUCGUUGCUUUUUUUUUUUAAAGUGAUGUUUAUCGGAUUUGAGCCGUCUUUUUUUUUAUAUUUAAGUGGCUUAAAAUUGAUUUUUUUGGUACGAUCGAAGCGUAUUUUUAUGAUCAAUUUUUGGUUAAAGAAACGCACACGUACCGUUAUUUAUAUGAUGUAAUACGUUUGACUAUUGGAUUUAGUUCAUUCGUAUACGAUAUCUUUCAAUAUUUGACCUCAAAUCAGGUAAGAACACCCGCUGAACUUAAGCAUAUCAAUAAGCGGAGGA